rnacentral:rRNA from 1 species
GAUGAACGCUGGCGGCGUGCCUAAUACAUGCAAGUCGAGCGAACAGACGAGGAGCUUGCUCCUCUGACGUUAGCGGCGGACGGGUGAGUAACACGUGGAUAACCUACCUAUAAGACUGGGAUAACUUCGGGAAACCGGAGCUAAUACCGGAUAAUAUAUUGAACCGCAUGGUUCAAUAGUGAAAGACGGUUUUGCUGUCACUUAUAGAUGGAUCCGCGCCGCAUUAGCUAGUUGGUAGGGUAACGGCCCACCAAGGCGACGAUGCGUAGCCGACCUGAGAGGGUGAUCAGCCACACUGGAACUGAGACACGGUCCAGACUCCUACGGGAGGCAGCAGUGGGGAAUAUUGGACAAUGGGCGAAAGCUUGAGCCAGCAAGACCGCGUGGGUGAAGAAGGUCUUCGGGGUGUAAAGCCCUUUUGUUGGGAAAGAAAAGAUGUAGGGUAAUACCCCGCUGUCUUGACGGUACCCAAAGAAAAAGCCACGGCUAACUGCGUG